rnacentral:rRNA from 1 species
GAUGAACGCUGGCGGCGUGCCUAACACAUGCAAGUCGAGCGAACAGACGAGGAGCUUUCUCCGCUGAUGUUAGCGGCGGACGGGUGAGUAACACGUGGAUAACCUACCUAUAAGACUGGGAUAAUUUCGGGAAACCGGAGCUACUACCGGAUAACAUGUCGAACCGCAUGGUUCAACAGUGAAAGACGGUCUUGCUGUCACUUAUAGAUGGAUCCGCGCCGCAUUAGCUAGUUGGUAAGGUAACGGCUUACCAAGGCUACGAUGCGUAGCCGACCUGAGAGGGUGAUCGGCCACACUGGAACUGAGACACGGUCCAGACUCCUACGGGAGGCAGCAGUAGGGAAUCUUCCGCAAUGGGCGAAAGCCUGACGGAGCAACACCGCGUGAGUGAAGAAGGUCUUCGGAUCGUAAAGCUCUGUUGUUAGGGAAGAACAAAAGUGGAAGUAACUAUGCACGUCUUGACGGUACCUAAAGAAAAAGCCACGGCUAACUACGUG